GGUCCCAUCUUGAACACCAUUGACAUAGGGGUUUGGAGACUAAGUUUCCAGCACGGGCAAUUUGAGGGACCCUGUCAAACCAUCCUACCACAUCACAACUGGUCAAUGGCCACCACAGACUCCAGCUCUGUACCUCCUGGAGACAUCAGAAUGACACUGUUGGCAAGCACCCCAAUACUGGAACCUUUCAGAUGUCCCCUGUGAGCUGACCACGGUUGAGAAGUCCAGGCUCAUGUCUGCUAUUCUGUCAUCUCCCGUGGCUCGAGCCUCACUCACCUGCUCACAGGUGGAACCCCAGCAUCCUAGAUGACACAGCCACAGCCUGUUUCUUGCCAAGUAAAUACACAGUCAGCUCAAGUCUUUAGGCAGCCCAUGUUUACAGCCUCCCCCAAAGCCUUUCACAGGCUUGAGCCCCAAAGCUUGAGGCCUGGGGCAGAAUUGGAAAUCUACCUCUUCCCAGAGCAGCAAGUGGGUAGUGGAUUCAGUCAGUUAAUGGAUAAUCAUUCGCUGAGUCGCAAUUUCCCAUUCUAAGAAGUGAAACUGCAAAUGAU
rnacentral:lncRNA from 1 species